UACGAAGGGGGCUAGCGUUGCUCGGAAUCACUGGGCGUAAAGCGCACGUAGGCGGAUCUUUAAGUCAGGGGUGAAAUCCUGGAGCUCAACUCCAGAACUGCCUUUGAUACUGAAGAUCUUGAGUUCGGGAGAGGUGAGUGGAACUGCGAGUGUAGAGGUGAAAUGCGCAGAUAUCAGGAGGAACACCAAUGGCGAAGGCAGCUCGCUGGGACGGUACUGACGCUGAGACGCGAAAGCGUGGGGAGCAAACAGG
rnacentral:rRNA from 1 species